GACGAACGCUGGCGGCGUGCCUAAUACAUGCAAGUAGAACGAGUUGCGAACGGGUGAGUAACGCGUGGUAACCUGCCUCAUAGCGGGGGAUAACUAUUGGAAACGAUAGAUAAUACCGCAUACCAUCAGGUGUGCCCCGAUUGGAUUGGCUUGUAGGUGGGGUAAUGGCUCACCUAGGCGACGAUCCCUAGCUGGGCUGAGAGGAAGACCAGACACACGGGAACUGGGACACGGUCCAGACUCCUACGGGAGGCAGCAGUGGGGAAUAUUGCACAAUGGGCGCAAGCCGGAUGCAGCCAUGCCGCGUGUGUGAAGAAGGCCUUCGGGUUGUAAAGCACUUUCAGCGAGGAGGCGUUACUCGCAGAAGAAGCACCGGCUAACUCCGUGCCAGCAGCCGCGGUAAUAC
rnacentral:rRNA from 1 species